rnacentral:lncRNA from 1 species
UCAAACCUCUAAAUUCUCUAUUCUGUGCCUCGCGAUCAGCUGAUGAUCUCACUUGAGAAAAUGAGUAAACAGAAGGAAACAAUCUUCCUUUGCAAAAUCCACUGAGCUAGUUUGACCUAUAUCCAUGUACUCAGCCUUCCCUCUUCAUACAAUGGAUAGAGUGUCCUGUCCACCUGAGUCCAGGGUGCUGCCUCCUCACCUGUGGAAGGACUCUGCCCUUCUAUUAUACCCCCUCUCUCUCCAGCAUCAUCAAAUCUCCCUCUCUAUGGGAGCAUUCCCAUCAGGAAACAUACAUGUUAUAAUAUCAAUAUCGCUGAUAAAAAUAUUCCCUUACCUUACCUUCUCCAGCCACUUUAUAGCAAAACCCCACAAAAGCAUUGCUUAUUCUGUCUCCACUUCCUCACCCCAAUUCUCUCCUGAACCCACUCUAAUCAGCUUUCAUUUCAGCUGCUCCACUUAACCUCUCUGAUGAAAAUCAGCAGUUAGGCCUAUAUCUCCCCAGUCCUCAUUUUACCUCCCUCUCAGCAGCAUUGCCACAUGGCUGGGCAUGCCCUCUUUUCUGAAACCCUUUCUCUACUGGGCCUCUGCAGCAGCACAUACUUCUGCUUUGCUUCCUUCCAUACCAACCUCUCGCUCCAUGAAUGUUCCUUCACCAGCUCUGCCUCCUUGCCCCAACCUCUAAAUCUUGGCGUUCCGCAGGACUAACCCUCGGCCUUCUUCUCUUUGACACUCACCCCCAGGUGAUUGCAUGAUUUCACAUAGCAUCUAUAUGAGGAUGACUCUCAAAAACCUGUCUCCACCCCCAGUCUCCCCUGAACUCCAGACCGGUACAUCCACCUGCCUACUGUAUAUCUCCUCUUGGGUAUAGGAUGAGCAUCUACAAAGAUACUGAAAUGGAUCUAAUUUUAGUCUCAGUAUCUCUUUAGGUGAUAGAGGCUAUGUUCCUAAGUGAAGAAUGAAGUAGUGGCAGUUCCAUCAGAUGCUUAGAGCCAGAGACAGUCCUAAGCAAACACCUGGAAAAGAAAUCCGGUGAGAAAUUCCAAGCAAUAGGAAUUUUCUCUGAAGAUCACUUGGAAGUGCCCCAUGAGAAAAACCACUAGCUUCAAACCCCUGCCAAGCCCAGAGAAUGCCUUACACUGAAAUAGAUCAUCAUAAAAUUAAUAGCCCCUCAAACACUGCCUGGCUCAGAGUUGGCGCUUGUUAAAAUUUUGAGGAAGCAAGCAAGCAAGCACAUGGGAGGAUACCAAAACAUGGCAGUAAAAGGAGCUAAACACACAAAAGAAAAGACAGAGUUCUGCUCUUGUUGCCCAAGCUGGAGUGCAGUGG